GACGAACGCUGGCGGCAUGCCUAACACAUGCAAGUCGAGCGAGCAGAUCCCUUCGGGGUGAAGCUAGCGGCGGACGGGUGAGUAACACGUGGGCAACCUGCCUCAUAGAGGGGAAUAGCCUUCCGAAAGGAAGAUUAAUACCGCAUAAGAUGGUAGCUUCGCAUGAAGCAGCAAUUAAAGGAACAAUCCGCUAUGAUAUGGGCCCGCGGCGCAUUAGCUAGUUGGUGAGGUAACGGCUCACCAAGGCGACGAUGCGUAGCCGACCUGGGAGGGUGAUCGGCCACAUUGGGACUGAGACACGGCCCAGACUCCUACGGGAGGCAGCAGUGGGGAAUAUUGCACAAUGGGGGAAACCCUGAUGCAGCAAUGCCGCGUGAGUGAUGACGGCCUUCGGGUUGUAAAGCCCUGUCUUCGGGGACGAUAAUGACGGUACCCGAGGAGGAAGCCACGGCUAACUACGUGCCAGCAGCCGCGGUAA
rnacentral:rRNA from 1 species